AGCUUUUUCUAGUGGUUGAGUACUCAUGCUCUGCGUUGAGUAUAAUGAUUCAACACUUUGAAUAGGAAGAUCUGAUGC
rfam:Eucalyptus grandis cultivar BRASTZ1 unplaced genomic scaffold scaffold_8, whole genome shotgun sequence.